rnacentral:lncRNA from 1 species
GGCUUCCUGAUUAGAAGGCUACAGAGAUUUAUCGAGAAGUUGCUGCUCCAGCUUCAGAAGAUCUUUUAAAGAUCUUUCAGAUCUAAUUUUUGGAGCAAAGAUUCAUACGGAGAAGAUGAUCUAGAUCCUAUUUGAGUGGAUACCGGUAGAGGCCAGAUGACUGUGUGGCUAUUUUAGAACUCUGGGCAUUGCUGCGAUCAUCUACAGGGUA